AGGCUUAACACAUGCAAGUCGAGGGGCAGCAUGGUCUUAGCUUGCUAAGGCCGAUGGCGACCGGCGCACGGGUGAGUAACACGUAUCCAACCUGCCGUCUACUCUUGGACAGCCUUCUGAAAGGAAGAUUAAUACAAGAUGGCAUCAUGAGUCCGCAUGUUCACAUGAUUAAAGGUAUUCCGGUAGACGAUGGGGAUGCGUUCCAUUAGAUAGUAGGCGGGGUAACGGCCCACCUAGUCUUCGAUGGAUAGGGGUUCUGAGAGGAAGGUCCCCCACAUUGGAACUGAGACACGGUCCAAACUCCUACGGGAGGCAGCAGUGAGGAAUAUUGGUCAAUGGGCGAGAGCCUGAACCAGCCAAGUAGCGUGAAGGAUGACUGCCCUAUGGGUUGUAAACUUCUUUUAUAAAGGAAUAAAGUCGGGUAUGGAUACCCGUUUGCAUGUACUUUAUGAAUAAGGAUCGGCUAACUCCGUGCCAGCAGCCGCGGUAAUACGGAGGAUCCGAGCGUUAUCCGGAUUUAUUGGGUUUAAAGGGAGCGUAGAUGGAUGUUUAAGUCAGUUGUGAAAGUUUGCGGCUCAACCGUAAAAUUGCAGUUGAUACUGGAUAUCUUGAGUGCAGUUGAGGCAGGCGGAAUUCGUGGUGUAGCGGUGAAAUGCUUAGAUAUCACGAAGAACUCCGAUUGCGAAGGCAGCCUGCUAAGCUGCAACUGACAUUGAGGCUCGAAAGUGUGGGUAUCAAACAGGAUUAGAUACCCUGGUAGUCCACACGGUAAACGAUGAAUACUCGCUGUUUGCGAUAUACUGCAAGCGGCCAAGCGAAAGCGUUAAGUAUUCCACCUGGGGAGUACGCCGGCAACGGUGAAACUCAAAGGAAUUGACGGGGGCCCGCACAAGCGGAGGAACAUGUGGUUUAAUUCGAUGAUACGCGAGGAACCUUACCCGGGCUUAAAUUGCAGAUGAAUUACGGUGAAAGCCGUAAGCCGCAAGGCAUCUGUGAAGGUGCUGCAUGGUUGUCGUCAGCUCGUGCCGUGAGGUGUCGGCUUAAGUGCCAUAACGAGCGCAACCCUUGUUGUCAGUUACUAACAGGUUCCGCUGAGGACUCUGACAAGACUGCCAUCGUAAGAUGUGAGGAAGGUGGGGAUGACGUCAAAUCAGCACGGCCCUUACGUCCGGGGCUACACACGUGUUACAAUGGGGGGUACAGAGGGCCGCUACCACGCGAGUGGAUGCCAAUCCCCAAAACCUCUCUCAGUUCGGACUGGAGUCUGCAACCCGACUCCACGAAGCUGGAUUCGCUAGUAAUCGCGCAUCAGCCACGGCGCGGUGAAUACGUUCCCGGGCCUUGUACACACCGCCCGUCAAGCCAUGGGAGCCGGGGGUACCUGAAGUGCGUAACCGCGAGGAGCGCCCUAGGGUAAAACUGGUGACUGGGGCUAAGUCAUAA
rnacentral:rRNA from 1 species